UGGGGAAUAUUGCACAAUGGGCGAAAGCCUGAUGCAGCGACGCCGCGUGAGGGAUGACGGCCUUCGGGUUGUAAACCUCUUUCAGUAGGGACGAAGCGCAAGUGACGGUACCUGCAGAAGAAGCACCGGCUAACUACGUGCCAGCAGCCGCGGUAAUACGUAGGGUUCGAGCGUUGUCCGGAAUUACUGGGCGUAAAGAGCUCGUAGGCGGUUUGUCACGUCGUCUGUGAAAUCCUAGGGCUUAACCCUGGACGUGCAGGCGUUACGGGCUGACUUGAGUACUACAGGGGAGGCUGGAAUUUCUGGUGUAGCGGUGGAAUGCACAGAUAUCAGGAAGAACACCGAUGGCGAAGGCAGGUCUCUGGGUAGUAACUGACGCUGAGGAGCGAAAGCAUGGGUAGCGAACAGG
rnacentral:rRNA from 1 species